GACGAACGCUGGCGGCGUGCCUAAUACAUGCAAGUUGAGCGAGGAGACGUGGUGCUUGCACCAAUGUGGAUAGCGGCGGACGGGUGAGUAACGCGUGGGUAAUCUGCCUUUGAGCCGGGGACAACAUUGGGAAACGAAUGCUAAUACCGCAUAACAACUUUAAACAUAAGUUUUAAGUGUGAAAGAUGCAAUUGCAUCACUCAAAGGUUAGACCGCGUUGUAUUAGCUAGUUGGUGAGGUAAAGGCUUACCAAGGGGAUGAUAUAUAGCCGACCUGAGAGGGUGAUUCGCCCCAAUGGGAACGAGACCAGGCCCCAACCCCUACGGGAGGCAGCAGUAGGGGAUCCUUGGCAAUGGAGGGAAGUCUGACCGAGCCACGACGCGUGAGUGAAUAAGGUUUUCGGAUCGUAAAACCCUGUUUGUAGAGAAGAAAGUUGGUGAGAGUGGACAGCUCACAACGUGACGGUAACUACCCAGAAAGACACGGCUAACUACGUG
rnacentral:rRNA from 1 species